UACUCAAAUAAACUGUUCUGGUUUGGUACAAACAGUGACGUCAUUGCAUUUACUGCCAAGCAGGAUAGUGUGCAUUCCUAUAGGAAUUUCGGUAAGGGCAAUUUGCCGGCUAAAAAUUGUGUUUUGCCCUAAAGAGGCAACCUUCAGUUCGGGGUGGAAAUGGGUUAGCUCCUAAAGCAUCAGGCUCUAAAUACAGCCUGUGUACUUUUCUCACAACAAUCAAUCAGUGUGAUGCCAACAGGUAUUAACAAAGGUGCUGUUGGGCUGUUGAGAAGAGCAUUGCCAGUGUUCCAAGGCAGAAAUUGUUGAACAGUCGCUGUUCAAAAUAUAACAGCAGCUCAAGAUGUGAGGCUUUCUCAUGAACUACGUCCAAGUUAACAUGGGUUAGCAGACGACGGAGGAACCUGAAGACAAGUGACUGCGGUGCCUCCUAGUGUGACUAAAGCCACUACCCUCUGAGCAUUCGUGUCCGUGCAGCAACUGUCACAUGACCUCUGACUUCCGAGCAGUAGGUCGUGUUGCUACAUUUUUUUGACCACCCAUCGUUGUACUGGUUGAUAGUCACAUGAUCUUCUUUGUCUUACAGGCACCAAAGAGGGAAGAGAAGAUUAUUCCUUCGAAGACUUUGACGUACAUUUCACUCGAAACUGCAUCAACGCUGCUUUUCGACCAUUUCGCCAUUGCGGGUGUCACGUACCUCUUGUUUGGGUGUGCCAUUAGAUGGGUGCCUCCUUAAUUCUCAUUGAUGACGAUCAUUGGAACCAAUGACCAUUGAAUAUUCACGCAGCGUCAGAGAGAGUAAAACGUGUCAACUUCUCAACGACAAUUGGAUCCUGCGCAUCCUAAGAGGUUCACGUAUAUUUGGUGACGCUACGUGCAUAUUCAAUAGCCAUGUGUUUCAAUUGUCGUUGAAGAUUAUCCAUGUGACGGGAGUAUAGAACUAGAAUGUCGUCUGUUCUCCACUGUUGCACUGGCAGUAGGGGUGGGCUCCGUUAUCCCAUUGGCUGAUGUUCGGACGUCCUUGCUUCUGUUACAGUUGUGAAAGAGGAGUGGGAAGAUUUUUCGUACGAAAGUUUCCCCCAGGGAAUCGCACACGCCUUGGAAGAGGACUCCGGAAGGCGACGCGAUGCCGACACGCAAGAAUUCCAGCACCAGUUCUGCAAUUACUCUGGAGCGCAUGCACCCCAUGUUGAGGUCCACGAAAGGCCUCGUGCGGGUCAAGUGUGUUCCAUGGGAUUUGCACACGGGGAUGCCGUGACUGCACCCCCGGAGCACCAUCUGCUUACCCUCCAGAGUGUUCGUUCAGAAGAACCAGUGCCUAAGGGAUCACUAGGGGACGCACCGGCGGUGAAGGAGGAGCCCAAAGAUCUCGGCGACGCAGAGGGGGAUACGGAAGAACCCUUCGAGGGGCCCCAGUGCAGCAGUCCGUGCGCCUCCGAGGGGUUACCCGAGGAACCCCCCAAGUCGAAGCACCCCUUCAAGGGAGGAAAGCGCCGCUGCCACUUCUGCAACUACUCCAGCAACAAGGCGAGCCACGUCAAGAGACACGAGAGGAGCCACACCGGUGAGAAGCGGUACGUGUGCGGAGUCUGCUGCAGGGGAUUCGCGGAAAAGUGCACCCUGACGAAACACCUGCGGGUGGUUCACAUGGGGGAGAGGAAGCACGCCUGCAACAUCUGCGGUCGCACCUUUAAACAGAAGCACCACCUGACGAGGCACACGAUGUCUGUGCACCCUUAGGGGCCGUUCCUGUGCACUCCCUGCAGGUGCUGGCCUGCGGAAAGGCGCUCGGAUGCCUGCAGGUGCUCACUGCGGAUAGGUGCUCCUCCAGCAACAAGGCGAGCCACAUCAAAAGACACGAGAGGAGCCACACCGUUGUGCGGAGUCUGCUGCAGGGGAUUCGCGGAAAAGUGCACCCUGACGAAACACCUGCGGGUGGUUCACAUGGGGGAGCGGAAGCACGCCUGCAACAUCUGCGGUCGCACAU